rnacentral:rRNA from 1 species
CUACGGGUCGCUGCAGUAAGGAAUAUUGGGCAAUGGACGGAAGUCUGACCCAGCCAUCCCGCGUGCAGGAAGAAUGCCCUAUGGGUUGUAAACUGCUUUUGUUUGGGAAGAAAUGUACUUUUUCAAGAGUAUUUGACGGUACCAGACGAAUAAGCACCGGCUAACUCCGUGCCAGCAGCCGCGGUAAUACGGAGGGUGCAAGCGUUAUCCGGAAUCCCUGGGUUUAAAGGGUGCGUAGGCGGCCAGAUAAGUCAGAGGUGAAAGUUUCCGGCUCAACCGGGAGAUUGCCUUUGAUACUGUUUGGCUUGAAUCAGAUUGAGGUUGGCGGAAUGUGACAUGUAGCGGUGAAAUGCAUAGAUAUGUCAUAGAACAUCGAUUGCGAAGGCAGCUGGCUGGAUCUGUAUUGACGCUGAGGCACGAAAGCGUGGGGAGCAAACAGGAUUAGAUACCCUCGUAGUC